GACGAACGCUGGCGGCGUGCUUAACACAUGCAAGUCGAACGAUGAAGCCGGAGCUUGCCCCGGUGGAUUAGUGGCGAACGGGUGAGUAACACGUGAGCAAUCUGCCCUUGACUCUGGGAUAACUGCGGGAAACUGUAGCUAAUACCGGAUACGACACCUUGGGGCAUCCCAGGGUGUGGAAAGAAUUUCGGUCAAGGAUGAGCUCGCGGCCUAUCAGCUAGUUGGUGAGGUAAUGGCUCACCAAGGCGACGACGGGUAGCCGGCCUGAGAGGGUGACCGGCCACACUGGAACUGGGACACGGUCCAGACUCCUACGGGGGGCAGCAGUGGGGAAUAUUGCACAAUGGGCGAAAGCCUGAUGCAGCAACGCCGCGUGAGGGAUGAAGGCCUUCGGGUUGUAAACCUCUUUUAGCAGGGAAGAAGCGAAAGCGACGGUACCUGCAGAAAAAGCACCGGCUAACUACGUGCCAGCAGCCGCGGUAA
rnacentral:rRNA from 1 species